CGUGUGAAAGUGAAAGUUUCCGUUUAAAAAACGCGCUGAUGAGGUAAAAGUUUGACGGUCGGUUUAUUUUUCAGCGGCGGCAGGGUGCGGAUGUCGAUUGUCUGAAGAGGGACUCGAGCGGUGAAAGGGUUGAUUGAUGCUGACUCGACUGCUUUUAUCGCCACUUAUACGAUACUGAAAGUGACUGUCACUGUUGGAAUCAAAACAUUUUCUAUCUAUGUUGGAUUACGUCUAUGCAAUCGGCAGGAGUGACUUCACUCAUCAUCAGAUUACAAAACUUCUUCUAAUUUCUGCUACAUUCUGCUACAAAAGUCUUCGUAUCACAGGUAUAUAAAUAGCAUUUUUAAACUUAAAUUCCAAUCCUGACAUAAUUUCACAACUUUACAAAUUAUCAUUUGUUCCUCUGCAUCAUACCAUUACCAAUUAAUAGUUUCAAGUAGA